rnacentral:rRNA from 1 species
GCAAGUCGAACGAACUAGUUUACUAGUGAGUGGCGAACGGGUGAGUAACACGUCAGGGACCAACACUAGACAAGAGGAUAACUCCGGGAAACUGGAGCUAAUACUGGAUAGGAUAUGAUCACACAAGUGGACAUAUUUAAAGACGCAAUCAAGCGUCGGUGUAGGCUGGACUUGCGUCGCAUUAGAUAGUUGGUGAGGGUAACGGCCCACCAAGUCAACGAUGCGUAGCUGAGCUGAGAGGCUGAAC